GCCAUGGCCACUGGAGGCAAACGAACACAUUUCCUGCCGCCACCGGUCGCCGCUAGGGAGCAGUCAGUGUCUUCAAACAAAACAGUCUGCCAUUUGUGAAAGAAAGCAGAGGUUACCUCUGUUUGUGUUCGCGAAGAAUGCAGAGAAACCACUAAAUGACUGACUUUUCAAUGUCUGAGGUGCACUCGCUGGCGUUCCCCGCCCAGCCCUGCGGCCUGACCCGCCCGCCCCCCUGGCAUACUUUGAAAUGCUUGACUUUCGCCUGAGAUUGUGGGAGGACAGGGACUAUAUCCAUGUUCAGGUUCAAGUUUCUCCAGCUCUGUUGCAAGUGACCAAAGACCUUAUUCAGAAUCUUCUUCCACGUUGUGAAUGCCAAAAUGUGAAUGUCAGUGUCCAUGUCAGUGUCAGUGUAAGCCAUUUUGGUUUACCUUUCAGAAAUUUAAGGUGAGUUUUUGUAGUUAUUGGGACCACAAUUACAAUGUGAAACAGGACGAUGACCAGCAGGUGGUCUUUGGAACGUAAGUCUAAACAUAAGGCGGCUGAAUAUACGAGUGUCAGCAGUGUGAAUAUGAAUGAUGAAUUUUCAGACAAGUAUGAUGACAUUGUUAGCACUGGCAGCCCUUCACAAAGCAAUAAUAGACUAAAUUUGCAGCAGAUUGCUGGUGUUCAGAAAGUGGUUCUCAAACAGAAAGUAAUGACACAAUAGAUAAUAGAAUUGGUGAAAGAGAUGAUGGAUUAGAGCAAGAAAAAGUACUUCUGAUGAAAGGGAUGAUGAAUUAGAGGAAGAAAAAGUACUUCUGAUGAAAGGGAUGAUGAAUUAGAGGAAGAAAAAGUACUUCUGAUGAAAGGGAUGAUGAAUUAGAGGAAGAAAAAGUACUUCUGAUGAAAGGGAUGAUGAAUUAGAGGAAGAAAAAGUACUUCUGAUGAAAGGGAUGAUGAAUUAGAGGAAGAAAAAGUACUUCUGAUGAAAGGGAUGAUGAAUUAGAGGAAGAAAAUCAUGAUGAAAAAGAAAGUGCUACUCAAGACUUACUUUUUAAUUGGGCUCUCGAUCAUAACAUCAGUCAUGCUGCAUUGAAAGAUAUUCUCUGCAUCUUUGAGAGAGCGUCAUGAUUCUAAUAUGCCUGCUGAACCUCGUACAUUAUGCAGAAUUCCUGCAAGCACUUCCCAUAAAAUAGAUAAAAUAUGUGAUGGAGAGUAAAAGUUAAUUGUGAUGGACUGCCUCUCUAAAAGCUCUAGUAAACUAUUUUGGCCACUCAUGGUUCAGUUUUGUGAUGAGACAAAAGCACUAGCUGAUGUAUAUCUAUAUAGGAGAAAGAAAGAGAAGGGAAGGAGAGGAAAGGAAGGGAAAGAAAAGGAAAAGGAAAGGAAGGGAAAGGAGGAGAAAGAAAGGGAAGGGAAGGAGUGGAAAAGAAGGGAAGCAAAAGGAAGGGAAAGAAAAGGAAGAGGAGGGGAAGGAAAAGUUGGAGAAAGAAAGGAAAGGAAGGGAAAGAAAAGGAAAAGGAAAGGAAGGGAAAGGAAAAGAAGAGAGGAAGAGAAAGAAAGGGAAGGGAAGUAGAAGAAAGGAAGGGAAAGAAAAGGAAGAUGAGAGGAAGGAAAAGUUGGAGAAAGAAAAGGCAGGGAAGGAGAGGAAAAGAAGAGAAAGAAAAGGAAGAUGAGAGGAAAGAAAGGAGAGGAAAAGAAGGGAAAGGAGGAGAAGGAAAGGAAGAGAAAGGGUAGGGAAUGGAGGAGAAAGAAAGGGAAGGGAAGGAGAGGAAUGGGAGGGAAAGAAAAGGAAGAGGAGAGGAAGGGAAAGGAGGAAAAAAAGGGCGGGAAAGAAGAGGAAAAAACAGGAAAACAAAACCACAUUAUAUAUUUUCUCUUUUUAUUCUCUUUUCAACAUUAUUAUUCUUCACUUUCCUUAUACAAAAAAAAAAAAUUCUUCCGUUAACAAGAGCAAAAUAAAUAUAAAUAAACAAAUAAAAUUCCAUAUAUAUAUAAUAGAAACUAGGUCAUACAAAAUCUUUAUAUAAAUACUAAUUCCUUAAACUUCUUAUAUACACACAUAGACUCUAUCACAAUCUAUCUAUCUAUCACAUCUGUUCUAAUAUAUAUUCAUUGAUCACAUUCACAUAGCACAUCUAUCACUUCUCUCUAUCUAUCUAUCUAUCUAUCUAUCAUGUACUUAUUGAAUGGGUAAGGAAGGGAAGGGAUGGGAAAGGUAAGGUAAGGGAUGGGAGGGGAGGGAAGGGAAGGGAAGGAAGGGGAGAGAAGGGAAGGGAGGGGAGGGGAGGGAGGAUAGGGAAGGGAAGGGAGGGAAGGGGAGGGGAGGGGAGGGGAAAGGUAGGGUAAAGGAUGGGAGAGGAGGGGAAGGGAAGGGAAGGGAAGGGAAGGGAAGAGAAAGGGAAAGAAAGAGCAAUAGAAGGGAAGGGAAGGGAGGGAAGGGGAGGGGAGGGGAGGGGAAAGGUAGGGUAAAGGAUGGGAGAGGAGGGGAAGGGAAGGGAAGGGAAGGGAAGGGAAGAGAAAGAAAGGGAAAGAAAGAGCAAUAGAAGGGAAGGGAAGGGAAGG